GAUGAACGCUGGCGGCGUGCUUAACACAUGCAAGUCGAACGGAAAGGCUCCUGCUUGCAGGGGUACUCGAGUGGCGAACGGGUGAGUAACACGUGGGUGAUCUGCCCUGCACUUCGGGAUAAGCCUGGGAAACUGGGUCUAAUACCGGAUAGGACGAUGGUUUGGAUGCGAUUGUGGAAAGUUUUUCGGUGUGGGAUGAGCUCGCGGCCUAUCAGCUUGUUGGGGGGGUAAUGGCCUACCAAGGCGUCGACGGGUAGCCGGCCUGAGAGGGUGUACGGCCACAUUGGGACUGAGAUACGGCCCAGACUCCUACGGGAGGCAGCAGUGGGGAAUAUUGCACAAUGGGCGCAAGCCUGAUGCAGCGACGCCGCGUGGGGGAUGACGGCCUUCGGGUUGUAAACUCCUUUCGCUAGGGACGAAGCGCAAGUGACGGUACCUGGAGAAGAAGCACCGGCUAACUACGUG
rnacentral:rRNA from 1 species